rnacentral:miRNA from 1 species
GGGUGCGUGUGUGUGUGUGUGUGUGUGUGUGUGUGUGUGUGUGUGUGUGCGUGCGCGUGCGCGCCGGCGCACGCUGCAC